CUACGGGAGGCUGCAGUGAGGAAUAUUGCACAAUGGGGGGAACCCUGAUGCAGCAACGCCGCGUGGAGGAUGACGCAUUUCGGAGCGUAAACUCCUUUUAUAUAGGAAGAAGAUGACGGUACUAUAUGAAUAAGCGCCGGCUAACUCCGUGCCAGCAGCCGCGGUAAUACGGAGGGUGCAAGCGUUACUCGGAAUCACUGGGCGUAAAGGACGCGUAGGCGGGUUGGAAAGUCAGGUGUGAAAUCCUACAGCUUAACUGUAGAACUGCACUUGAAACUUCUAAUCUAGAGUAUGGGAGGGGGAGAUGGAAUUAGUGGUGUAGGGGUAAAAUCCGUAGAUAUCACUAGGAAUACCUAAAGCGAAGGCGAUCUCCUGGAACAUUACUGACGCUAAGGCGUGAAAGCGUGGGGAGCAAACAGGAUUAGAUACCCCGGUAGUC
rnacentral:rRNA from 1 species